UUUUCACUAAAGAAUCAACCUUUCUGAGUUUUUUUGUUAUUGCUUGCUUUUUCUUUUUACAGGCAGAUAAAGAGGAAAUUGAAGAACUCAAGCUUCUUGCUCAAUGGAAGAGAAACAAAGAUUGCUAAUAUUUGAAGGUUACAGUAGAGACAAAUCAGGUUUUUAUUUGAGAUGUACUUGCUGCUAAUUCAUCUCACAGUAAGUUCUUCAAUCUAUCGAAGCACAUUUGGAGUAUUACAACAGAGAGUAAAUGAUUAGCAAUUUAUUUAAGGAACAUGUUGGAUCUCCUUUUGUUUCUUUGUGGAGACUGUCAGCCAAUUUGGUGGAAGUGAAAGAGCUACCCCUAAGGGUGUGCUGAAGCCAUUUACAAAAAUACAAGACAUCUAGAUAUAGAACAAGUCAUCUGAAGGUACAUAAGAUAUGCAUUGUAUAUUAUAUGCACAAUUGAUGGCUAAGGUUGGCAAAGUCUAUGGAUAAAGUUGGCAAAGAAGUUGUAAUCACCAUUGAUGUAAGUUUUCUAGCAUUGUGAUAUCCCUGUGAUAUAUAAUUGCUUACUAUUUUUUGUGAAAUGUGUUCCUGGCUGCUGGAAGGUUUGGUUCAGGCGAUUGUACAGAAAAUAGAAUUGGUGGAACUAGAUCACACUACAGUUGCAAUAAAAGUGUUAAAAUCUGAUGCAGCUCAUUGAAAGCAUAUGAUACAUCUUACUAGAGCUCGAAAUUGUGGUGAGUUUGAAAUUUAUGGUGGUCUUGUCUUUGGUUUGUUAUACACCUAAAGUUUGGUGGCAUUUAACUAUGGUGAUGUCAUAUUUUAUAAGUGUCAGUCUUGAUAUCAAAAACCACUUUAUUCUAAUGACACCAAAAGAUUUUUAUGUUAUUUUAUAAGUGACAUUUUUCUGUUGAACCAAGUUAAUAAUUCAAAUUAUUUCAACCUUCAUAUGUUUACAGCAAACAUCUAAAGUUUUGGAAAUGGAUAUUGUGCUAUCCAACCCAACUGAAACUUCUAAUCAAGCGAUGUUGCAUUACUUAACUCCUCUAUUUUUAUGCAAUGGUCAAAUCUGAAUUAUGUAUAGUAUAUUUUUAAAUUCAUGUUGAAUAUAAAGUUGAUUCUUUGGAGUUACUUUAUGUUAGUUGUCAACACUUUGUACAUGUGAUGAUAUAUCACAUUUUCUGCAACAUGGUCACUUUAUAUAUGCGUAGUGUGGCUGAAUUUUGGUUAGUUUUGUCUAUUAUCUUUGAUGAAUGCUGUUUUAGUUCAGUGAGGAUUUCUCUGCUUUACCUUAUUUUCUGACUUUUAUCUUUUUCUGAUUGUGCUUUUUUGGGUUACUCAAAAACUAUCGGUAUGUUACAAAAAGGGAUAUGGAAUUUUUUGUACCUGUUGCAAUGCAGAAGUUAGUGCAUCUCAGUUUGAAGCACAUGCUGGAUGGUCAUCUCAACGCAAGUCGCGAGUUCAUUAAAUUCUAUUGUUGGGUCUGUAGGGUGCAUAUAACAUGUCUAACUAGCAUUGUAGUCAACUCUGCUUUUCAAGUGCUGAGUUUUAUCUAUUGUCAAAACAUAUAUACAAGGGAUGAAUAAAUCAUAUAUGGACUAAUGUGCAGUUUAUUGAAAUUGAAUGGUAUGUUUCAAGCAUGUCUCUGUCUCUGCUAUCAUUUUAAUAUAUUUGUCUUCCAAUUAUUUGUAAAGACACUUCAUGGGAGGAGAUUUAGCUUAUAAUGAUUAUGAAAUAGUUUAUAAUGUUUAUUUAUAAAGCAUCUUUGUUACUAAUUGAAAUGUUAUAUAAUUCGGUGACAGACUCAAAUCAUGUAAGGUAAUUUCUAACCUUUAGAAAAAAAGGUAUGCCUCAAACAUAGUUUUAAUUAUCAAGGCUUUGAAUAGUUCUUUGUGACAUAUUGCAAAAAAAAAAUGGUAUGUUUCUCUAGAUAAUGAAACUAAUAUAUUUGUGCUCUCUUAUAUGAUAGGAGAAAGGGGUACAAAAGCAAAAUGACAUGCUUUCAAAAGCAAGAUCAG